UAACAUCAGUCAGUUUCUAGAUUCGGUUUCACUGUUAGGGAGCAUGGAGAAUGUCGCAGAUAUCCUGUCUUCUCUGAAUGACAGAAAGAAUAAGGAAGGGAAAAGGAUAAUCGAAACAGUGCGUAAUGCAAUGGAAGUCCUGAUGUCAGAAAUGUACAUGCUUUUGGAUAAUCCUAACGAAUUGGUGAAAGUGCUAAAGAUUCUGCGGCGUAUUGGUUCUGUUGACUUAACACUUAUUGUGGACGUCUUUUGUGACUGGGCAAAAUCUCACCCAGAAGCGAUGAAGAAGUUGACUGAGACACUGCAAUAUGCAAGUGAAGCAUUUUGGGGUAAACUUGACUCUAUUGGAAUCAACGUCAAUGCUUUAAAGAGACUGAUCGAAAUUUUGUACAAAAAUGGUGAUAUCAUAUUUGAUAAGCCGAUGUUGCUUAAGUUGAUCAGAGCUUUGUGGAAAAAUGAAGAUAAGGAUAAAAAUAGCGAUCAAAAUAAGUGCAGCUCUGGGAAAUUGAUGAGCAAGCUUUAGUAAAUUUUAUGUGAUAAGAACAAAAUGUAUCCUCCUACAAUGGCCACACAUUUGUCCAAAAUCCUUAUACAUUUUAUAGAGCACUCACUUUUACAAGGAAUUUGUCGAAUGAAAUAUCCCCUUACAGCUAGAGUCGUUUCGGGUUGAAACGUUUUUAUAUUUUAAAGAAAAAAAGCUGAUGAAGCUGUUAGUUGAACAUUUUGAUUUGAUUUAAUUCGUAUUUGUUCAACUUUUAAAUGAUAUAUUACAUAUUACAUUAUACUUAAACAUAUUACUGAUUGUAUAUUAUCAUUAUAUGUAACAUUUUGGGGCCAAUUUAAAAGUAGUUUUAACAGAAACAUUCUUCACAGUUAACACUCAGGAUGUUGCAGCACAAUAUUUGAAAUUUUGAGAUUUGUGUGACAUUUUUAGUACCUUUUAGUACUCUUACUUAUAAUUCGAAA